rnacentral:misc_RNA from 1 species
UAGAAGCAUAUGAAUCACAGGAGAAUUUUGCAACCAUGGCACUCCCUUCGGCGGGCUUCAGAUUAUUGGCACCACGAUCGUCGCAAUUGAAUCCGUGGCAUUAUAAUCUCGGCCGUUUUAAAAAAUGGCAUCGUGCUGCAUUGAUGGUCAUUAGCAUUUUUCGUGUGCCCGUCGUGCCCUCGCUCCGUUCGCUCCGUUACUUCCCUGGCCGCCGUCUUCGAGCGUCUUCCAUUCUCCCUUCCCUGGCCGUCGUCUUCCUCAUCUCUCUUGUCCAUGUAGGGGUUGACGAGCGUCUCCGGCGGGUACUGGUCGAUGCAGUCCUCCCAUGCGCCGGCGUCGGCGAGGUCCCUGGUCACCUCCCAGUAGCAGCUGUUGCACUUGAAGCUGGAGCCGAAGGUGACCAUGAGCACCCUGUCCCCGCGCUUGAGCCUCCACUUCGCCUCCAUGUAGGAGAGCACGUACCAAAGGCUGCUCGCGGACGUGUUCCCCCACCGGUGAAGCGUCAUCCCGGCCGGCUCCACGUCGUGGGCGGUGAGCCUCAGGCUCUUCCUCACCGCCUCGAUCACCACCGUCCCGCCGGGGUGGAGGCAGAAGUGGUCCACGCCGGCCUUGAAGUCGAUCUUGGGGCAGCCGGCGUGCUUGUUGCGCGGGGGGCCUGGCAGGAGCUUGCGGAGAAGGAGGCGGGACGCGAAGCGCGCGAGCUCGCGGGCGGGCAGGAUCCGUGGCGCCAGGCGCUGCAGGUUCUCGGUGAAGGCGCGCACGGCGGCCUUGGGCAGCGCCUUGCUGAGGCUGACGCCGAGGCGGCCGUCAGCGUCCUCGCGGUGCACGACGGCGG